rnacentral:rRNA from 1 species
UGAGUAAAGUGGCGUACGGGUGAGUAACACGUGGAUAAUCUACCCUGGAGUGGGGAAUAACGCUGGGAAACCGGCGCUAAUACCGCAUAAUCCCGAGAGGGCAAAGGAGCAAUUCGCUUCAGGAGGAGUCCGCGGCCGAUUAGCUAGUUGGCAGGGUAAAAGCCUACCAAGGCAACGAUCGGUAGCCAGCCUGAGAGGGCACACGGCCACACUGGCACUGAAACACGGGCCAG